AGGUGUGCUUACAGAUGCGGGAUGGGAUGUGCUUGAUUGACGGUACCCCUCCGCGUCACCUACGCGGGCGACGGGAGGGGCGACUCCGCCGCCCGCCGCUAGGCUCCCCCGCCGGGCCUUCCCUUGGCCGCCGCCGCCGGUGUCCAGCAGGCGGCGGCGGCAGCCCGUGGCGGUGCCGAAGCCGGUGGCCGCGCGCAUCUUCUCCCUCUCUUUCUUGUGGUCCUUAUUCUCUCUUUGCUCCAUAAGAUCCAGUUGCUCCAUCGGUCUUCCUGCUUGCUCCGAGCAACCUCUUGGUUGAUAGAUCCGGGGCUGUGGAGUUUGGAUCCGUCACCUAAUGGCUGCUGCUGCACCAAACCGGCCAUGGAGUUCGAACAGGCACUUCGUUGGUGCCAUUGGCGGGGCCGCCGACCGGUGCUGCUGCGGCGCCGUCUCUUGUGCGCGCAGCACCAUGGGGCUUCCGGCGACGCCCCGCUCCUGCUGUGGGGAUCCGUGCAGAGGUCCGUGAAAGUUGGGUGAUACGGGAAGCCGUUCGAGGAAAUAUUUGACUAGCGUAACGUUGGCGUCGGCAUUGGUGACAUCAUUUGGUGCCAUUCCCUUCUUGAAGGCAAUGUCGACAUAUCCUUCUACUUUUGUGCCAGACGGAGGUCUAUGUAAAAGGACAAGCAACAGACCAUCCGAACAUCAAGCUUCUAAGCAGACAAGUGAUGUGCUAGAUUGGUAUGCGUGAAUAUACAUUGCAAGAUUGAAGUGGGAACGAAGAAGUUUGAAGUUUAGUCUUCUAUGUUUCUUUCUUUGUCUUAUAGCUUCUUUUUCUUGUAUUUGUGAAAUCCCUCAUUUGAGGUAAGAGUCUAAGAACUCUUUGUAACUUUUUUGGCUGUAGUCAUUUGCUUAAGAAUGAUUAAGGCCGGAACUUUUUCCAUAAUCUAAAAAAUUCAGAUAUA